AGAGUUUGAGUUAUGGCUCAGGAUGAACGCUGGCGGCGUGCCUAACACAUGCAAGUCGAACGAAGCACUUUCAUCGGAGAUUCGUCGAAGAUGGAUUUGACUUAGUGGCGGACGGGUGAGUAAUGUGUGAGCAACCUGCCUUUCAGAGGGGGACAACAGUUGGAAACGACUGCUAAUACCGCAUAAAGUAUUUGGGCGGCAUCGCCCGGAUACCAAAGGAGCAAUCCGCUGAAAGAUGGGCUCACAUCUGAUUAGCUAGUUGGUGGGGUAACGGCUCACCAAGGCUGCGAUCAGUAGCCGGACUGAGAGGUUGAACGGCCACAUUGGGACUGAGAUACGGCCCAGACUCCUACGGGAGGCAGCAGUGGGGAAUAUUGGGCAAUGGGCGAAAGCCUCGACCCAGCAACGCCGCGUGAAGGAAGAAGGUCUUCGGAUUGUAAACUUCUUUUAUGAGGGACAAGGACGUGACGGUACCUCAUGAAUAAGCCACGGCUAACUACGUGCCAGCCGCUGC
rnacentral:rRNA from 1 species